UGGCAGCUGCUUCUCCGAGGCCUGCCAGUGAGCUGGAGUCGCUGCGUCUGCACUGACACGGCCCCUGUGCGCUGUCACAGAGGUGCAGGACCAAGCUGUGCCGCCAGGCAGGCGAGUCCCUGGCUGCAGGGCCGUGCACUGCUCCAGAGCCUUUCAGGGCAUUUUGGGACUCAAAGCGCUUCCAGAGACAUUGAUUGGACAGAUGAUGGGAGUGAUGUACUGAAAAGAAUGGAGCGAAGACAAUGAAAUGUGUCGGUGUGCUCUCGGUCUGUCUCCAGAGCUCUGUUCUGGCUUAACUUUCCCCCAGCCUAACUCCAGGAAGUUCUUACUGAGAGAAAAUUUUUUGCAGAGUUGUUACACGAUCGAUAGAGCUUUAAGCGAAUGUGUGGCAAGUAAUUGGGAUCCGGAAUUUGCUUUCCUUUCUCUGCGGGUCUUUAGCAGUGCGCCUGGUUCCUGGAACAAAAACUACCUUCCUGCACCUGCCCCUGUGCCUGGCGUGGCCAUGUGACCCCCAGGGGCGGUGGCCUGCUGGCGGCGGAAGCCUGUUCUUCAAGGGGGUGCAUGUCUCUGCUGCUCCCCACCCUGCUGCUCCAUGGCGCCUUGCAGAUGAGCUGCUCUGGAGGGCAGAGCCAGCUGGGUAGCGGAGCAGCUGGAGGGAAAGUGCUUUGGCGACUGCAGAACUUGGCGGCCACCUGCCCUGCAGCGCCCACCUCUGGAUGGACACGAAACUUCUGCCUUACUGAAGACACUGCUGAUUCUGGCCUGGGAGACUGCAACUGAAUCUGUAGAUCCUCUAAAGCCAAGGCAAGACGGUGGGAGGUCAUUUUCUGAUCAGAAGUUAGUUUGCAAAAUGCUAAAAUAAUGAUAAAAUAGCAUCAGAAAAUGCUCUCGUCCACAGACCCAGUAUUCUCGGGUGGGUGAACUUAUAGUAGCUUGAACAUCUGCUGAUGGGCCACAGCAAAGAGAAACCAAGAGCAAAGCGCAUCAAUCAGGGCGGAUUUUAUUACAACCAGCCCAGGAAAUCUUGGGCAGUCAAGUCUUUCGCCAUCAUUACAUUCCGAUCUCAGGUCUACAUUUCAAGAAAUUGGAGUUACUGACAGAGCGCUGCAUCAGUACGAGGACGGCCAGCGAUCCAGCGUAGUUGCUUUCCAGGCAAGGACACUUGCUGAUGGUGGGGAAUCUCCCUGUGCCAGGUGGGGUCUUCGGGAGGAAGAUCUGACCUGUGAGGCGCUUGUAAAGGUUUUCAACCACUUCAAAGAAGUUGCAAUAAAU